AAGUCGUAACAAGGUUUCCGUAGGUGAACCUGCGGAAGGAUCAUUAACACGCUUACGCGUUAUCAACCAAACCGCGAACUGUGACGUCUUGCAUGUGCUGGGAUUGGUGAUGGUUGCCAUUGCUUUCGGGCUUUGGUUUCCACUCUUUCUCAGUUUCACAUGAUUUAUUUAACCCCAACCACAUUUUUUAUCAAUCAAUCUCUGUCUUAAAGGACUUGCCGAUUUAUCGGUAGUCUUUUAUUACAAAUCAUGUACAACUUUGAGCAACGGAUAUCUUGGUUUCC
rnacentral:misc_RNA from 1 species